rnacentral:lncRNA from 1 species
AUGGAAACAAGGUAUUUAGCAGCUGGCUAGGUAGAUCAUGUCGACAGCCUCAGUUCAUCACCAACCCAGUUUCGACAGUGAGCUCGGGGAGCUGAGUUUGGGUUGGUUCAAGGGAUUUCCUAUUUCGAAGGUAUAAUCUCGAACUAGAUUCUUGUGUUGGUGAUCAGAAAUUAUGCUACUGAGCUUGGUUUGAUAUGAUGAAAUUGAAGGCACUGUUAUCGAAUUGGUUAUGUUGUCUAGAAUUUUAAUUAUUUGAGUUGAUGUCUGCUGUGGGCUAUGUUAAUUGUAAUGGUG